AACGAACGCUGGCGGCAGGCCUAACACAUGCAAGUCGAACGCCCGUAGCAAUACGGGAGUGGCAGACGGGUGAGUAACGCGUGGGAACGUGCCCUUCGGUUCGGAAUAACUCAGGGAAACUUGAGCUAAUACCGGAUACGUCCGUAAGGAGAAAGAUUUAUCGCCGAAGGAUCGGCCCGCGUCGGAUUAGCUAGUUGGUGAGGUAAUGGCUCACCAAGGCGACGAUCCGUAGCUGGUCGAGAGGAUGAUCA
rnacentral:rRNA from 1 species